rnacentral:rRNA from 1 species
GAUGAACGCUAGCGGCAGGCUUAAUACAUGCAAGUCAAACGGCAGCGGGUCCAGCAAUGGAUGCCGGCGAGUGGCGCACGGGUGCGUAACACGUAUGCAACCUACCUUUAACCGGGACAUAACCUCGAGAAAUCGUGGCUAAUAUUCCAUAAUAUCUUUGAAUCGCAUGGUUUGAGGAUCAAAAUUCCGAUGGUUUUAGAUGGGCAUGCGCGACAUUAGCUAGUUGGUGAGGUAAUGGCUCACCAAGGCUACGAUGUUUAGGGGGUCUGAGAGGAUGAUCCCCCACACUGGUACUGAGACACGGACCAGACUCCUACGGGAGGCAGCAGUAAGGAAUAUUGGGCAAUGGGCGCAAGCCUGACCCAGCCAUGCCGCGUGCAGGAUGACAGCCCUACGGGUUGUAAACUGCUUUUAUACGGGAAAAAACCCUCUGACGUGUCAGAGGCUGAUGGUACCGUAAGAAUAAGCAUCGGCUAACUCCGUGCCAGCCGCCGCAGUAAUAC